rnacentral:rRNA from 1 species
UACAGAGGGGGCAAGCGUUGUUCGGAAUUACUGGGCGUAAAGGGCGCGUAGGCGGCCGCCUAAGUCAGACGUGAAAUCCCUCGGCUCAACCGGGGAACUGCGUCUGAUACUGGGUGGCUUGAAUCCGGGAGAGGGAAGCGGAAUUCCGGGUGUAGCGGUGAAAUGCGUAGAGAUCGGGAGGAACACCCGUGGCGAAGGCGGCCAACUGGGCCGGACCUGACGCUGAGGCGCGGAAGGCGUGGGGAGCGAACGGG